rnacentral:rRNA from 1 species
GUAUAAGAGACAGCAGUCGCCACGGUAAUACAGAGGGUGCGAGCGUUAAUCGGAUUUACUGGGCGUAAAGCGUGCGUAGGCGGCUUCUUAAGUCGGAUGUGAAAUCCCUGAGCUUAACUUAGGAAUUGCAUUCGAUACUGGGAAGCUAGAGUAUGGGAGAGGAUGGUAGAAUUCCAGGUGUAGCGGUGAAAUGCGUAGAGAUCUGGAGGAAUACCGAUGGCGAAGGCAGCCAUCUGGCCUAAUACUGACGCUGAGGUACGAAAGCAUGGGGAGCAAACAGGAUUAGAUACCCGAGUAGUCCCUGUCUCUUAUAC